rnacentral:rRNA from 1 species
UUGUGGUUAAAAAGCUCGUAGUUGGAUCUCAACAGCCUUGAAGCGGUUAACUUUGUAGUUUUACUGCUUUAUAGGCUGUGCUUUUGCUGGAGGUUUAGGGGUGCUCUUGAUCGAGUGUCUCUGGAUGCCAGCAGGUUUACUUUGAAAAAAUUAGAGUGCUCAAAGCAGGCUAAAAUGCCUGAAUAUUCGUGCAUGGAAUAAUAGAAUAGGAUGUCGAUCCUAUUUUGUUGGUUUUCGGGACUCGACAUAAUGAUAAAUAGGGACAGUCGGGGGCAUUUGUAUUCAAACGACAGAGGUGAAAUUCCUUGGACCGUUUGAA